rfam:[Clostridium] acidurici 9a chromosome, complete genome.
GCUGGUGUGGCUCAAUCGGUAGAGCAACUGACUUGUAAUCAGUAGGUUGGGGGUUCAAGUCCUCUCACCAGCU